CUGUGCCUUUGGGGCUUAUACUCUGUCCCUGAACUGCAGAGUCUCCCCACUUCCUGACUGAGCUGCCAUGUGCUCAGCUGCUUUCCACCUCCACGUCCUUCCUCCAUGAUGUUCUGCUGCACCCGGGGCCCAGAGCAAGGGGGACAGCCGUCUAUAAACCGAGACCUCUGAAACUGUGAGCACCCCCGAGCUUCUCCUCCUCUAAAAGUGUUCUAGACAGGUCUUUUGGUCACAGUGUCAAAAAAGCUGACGAAAACAGACUGCUUAAUGAGUACAGAGUUUUCUUUUAGGGUGAUGGAAAUGUUUGGGACCUCAGUGGCGGUCAUGGUGGCACAACACUGUGGACAGGCUAGAUGCCUCCGAGUUGUUCACCUUAGAGGCUAACUUCAGAGGCUGCACGUAGCUCUGUGGCAGAGCACUCGGCUGGCCCGUGAGGGGCACCACCCAUCACCAGCACUGCAAGGUUGCAUGGAUUUCUCCUCGAUUAUAAAAUUUUUAAAAUUAAGCAAAUACAUAGGAGGAGAACAGAAUUCAAGGAACAGGCCCAUAGGAGCGGGCUUGACAGGCCCCGGGAGCAGCAGCCACCAAGGCACAGAGGCCUGGGGAUAGGAAGAGGGUUGGGGAAUUGGGAGUGACCGUGUGAUGGGAUGGGGACACAGGCUUGUGCAC
rnacentral:lncRNA from 1 species